GACCCCAUCUUGCUCGUCAUUAAAGACGACUGCUACGGCAUGAAAGAGGAUACCAUACAAGAGUACAAGGCAGCCUAUCCUGGUGAGCAGUACUGUGUAUAUUGGAGACAAGGACCCCUACUUGUCAGACAUCUGGAAAACGAAGACGAAGUGUCAACACAGGAACUUGAAGUACGUGCUUUCUUUGACAUGACGACUAAUCGGAUGC